UGCCAUGAAAAAUUUACUGCAGCGACCGGACUAUGUGCCCAUCAUCGUUCCCGUCCGUUAUAUUACGUCUCCUCUUCUUCGCCGGCGCCAAAAAGUUCGUCAUUUUCGGUCUUUCACAGAAACAGCGAGGGAUAGACAUGGUGUUGACUCACCUCCAAAGAUUCCCCUUCCCCGCCUUCUUCCCCAAACCCCAAUCCCUCUUCACCUAUCGCUCCCUCUUCUCCACACCGCCGCUCUCCAAGCUCCUCACCCGGCCACACUACUCGACCCUCUUGGCCGCAGAGCGGCCUCCCGCAGCCGAACCCCCCGCCGCCGCCGAGCUCCUCGAACCCCGCAUCGAGAUCCCGCUGGACAGGCUCUUCGUCCCGCCCGACACCGAGGUGCCCUGCGACAGCUCCGACCUUAGCGCGAGGGUGCUGAAGGGUUCCAACAUCGUGCUCAGCAGGUACGCCAGGGACGCCCAGGUGGCGGAGGCUGAGUUCGUCAAGAGCAGCGUCCGCACCGAGGACUGCCCCUCCGACGGCCUCCCUGAGUUCGCCCUCGUGGGUCGGUCCAACGUCGGGAAGUCCUCGCUCCUCAACUCGCUCGUCAGGAGGAGGAAGCUCGCUCUCACUUCGAAGAAGCCUGGGAAGACACAAUGCAUAAACCAUUUCCGGAUAAAUGAUAGCUGGUAUCUGGUGGACUUGCCUGGAUAUGGUCUGCAGUUCAGGCCCUCAUCCUACUGGCAGUCCAUGGGCGAAAUGGAGUGCAAAAUUAUGCUGUUGCACCUCAAGAACUUAGGACAGACUGGGGCAAGUUCACGAAAGGCUAUUUCCUGAACAGAUCAACGUUGGUCUCGGUGUUCCUUCUAAUAGACGCGAGUAUUCCAGCCAAAAAGAUCGACCUUGAAUAUGCCAGUUGGUUGGGGGAGAAUCAGAUCCCCAUGACAUUGGUCUUCACCAAAUGCGACAAACGUAAGAAGAAAAAGAAUGGUGGGAAGAGACCUGAGGAGAAUGUCAGUGAUUUCCAAGAGUUGAUAAGGGGCUUCUUUCAGACGGCCCCACCGUGGAUCAUGACCAGCAGUGUCACGAACCAAGGUCGGGAUGAGAUAUUGCUCCAUAUGGCUCAGUUGAGGAACUACUGGCUCAAGCAUUGAGAAACAAAUAAAAAGAAAUAAUGUACUUUGAUGCUAGCCAGGUUUAAGAGAACAAAAGCAGCAGAUGGGAUCACCAUAUGAAGUUUGGUUGUACAUAGAGAUUCUAUCGCUUAUUGGUCCCUCUGAACCAGAUGGUGGCACCACUUCAUCAUCUCUUUAAAUGUGUAAUAUAAGAAUCCUGUGCAACAUUUCAGAGUUGUGGAAUAGAUGAGCAUCCCAUUCUUCAAUUUUUUUUUCCUA